AAACUUCCUUCUCACCCAACCCUUCUCGCGCCGACGCCUACCCCUCGCGCUCGACUGUGCCCUAACCGCCGGCCCCGGCGAUUUCUUCCUCGCUGAAACCUGAAAUCCCUCGGCCACUUCUCCUCUCCUCUGCCUCCCGAAUUUUUUCUCCCUCUCCACAGCCAAGUGACCCCGAGCCCUAGCCGCGUCACCGCCACUCCGACCCGACGUCGAGCCCUAGGUGCCGACGCCCUCUCCGAUCACCUCACGCGCGCCACCGGUGACGGUCAUCUUCCUCUUCUUCUUUCCGAGACACUGCCGAACCACCUCUGCCUGCCACCGGUCUGAUCUAGCGCCGGCCAAACUCCUCUGCCCUAGUUUGUAUUCGGCGCCACUGCCGUCUCUCGACCUGAACCAGCGAUGUUGUCGCCUGUGCCCUAGCGCCAGCGGCCGAAUUCGUCUGUGCCCUAGAACCGAUCUGGCCAUCUCCGACUACUCAGGAGCAAGUAGUGCCGAGUUCUUCCUCUGUUCCAGCCUGAAGAAAAGGGUCGAUUGGGGGGUAUAUUGUUUUGGAAAUCCACAACCCCAACCUCGCUCCAGUCAGGGCUACUGGCAGCAAGUGGUCUCCUGCUGUGGAUCACCGGCAGACCAUCCGGAUUUGGGUGAGUCUUGAUGCUAUUUCA